CUUUGAAAGAAAUUAAAAGAGUGUUAAAGAAGGGUGGACAGUAUGUAUUUCUGGAGCAUGUUGCAGCAGAAAGGAAUUCAUGGCGAUGGUUUUCUCAGUGCAUCAUGAAUCCCUUACACUGGAUCUUUGCAGAUGGCUGCGAGGUGAAAAGAAAUAUAGAUAAGUUCAUUAAAGAAGCAGGUUUCUCGGAUGUUUAUAUGGAAAAGUUCUACCCCAGGAACAUGCCUUUUUGGAUAAAACCAUGUAUACUUGGUAUAGCCACUAAAUAGAAUUAGAUGAUUCUUUUUAAUAAACCUUUUUAUUGUAUCAAAAACAUAUACAUGUAGGUGUUACCAACACAUCAGGUGAAAAAUAUAUUUGUAUUGGAAAAUGACUUUUGAUUUAAGUCAAACUUGCAAUGCUUUAUUACAUGUAAUGUUAAGUCAUUUGUUAUCAAUUUUAUGUGUUGUCUGGAUCUUAAUUAAGAUACAGGGAAUUAAAUCAGGCAAUAUACACUUUACUAAAGAAUGAUUUAUACUGUACUAAAGAAUGAAUUAUCUCUAUAAUUUAGACAACAAGAUUUUUAAGUUGAUCUUUUAUUCUAUUCAGCAAAAAAGUUAUAUUUUUUAUACUAUGAGUUUAGUUUAAACCAAAAUUUUAUUUAACUAUUUGUACCUUUGUUAAGAUUAUUAAUUUUGUUCAAAUGCUUUUUUUUUGGAUUUGUUAAGAUUUAUUAAUUUUGUUCAAAUGCUUUUUUUUUGGAUUUGUUAAGAUUGUAUCAUAUUUUAUCUGUAUAAAGAUGCAUUUUUAGAUAGCUUUAAACAAUUUAACAUAGUUACAUUGUUUUUAAUUCACCCGAGUGCUUAGAGUUCAGCUAUUUGUGAUGGCAUGUUGUCAGUUGUUAUCCACAAUUUUCUUCAAACAACAUCUCCUGAACUACCAGAUGCAUUUUUGAUUAAACUCAUUGAGUGACCUUCAAUAGUUAUAUGAUUGGUUGCUAUCAGAUACACAUUUAGAUGCAGGUCACCCAAGAUAAAAAUUGACUUUAAAUAAAAAUGAAAUUUUUAAAAAUAAAAUUCUCCUCAUAAACUGAAGUGCCAAGAGCUAAAAUAUUUUGCAUGUAACAUCACCUAGUAGUCUCUACAAAAGUUGUAUAUGUCAUACCUAUCUGGUAAAAAUUUGCUUUAAAUCUUCUGUGAAAACUCAUUGUACUGAGCAUAGAUAUUUGGCAUGACUGUAGAAUUACAAUGUAAGAUCACUUUUGUUACAAUAACAUAUGUGAAUAAUAAUUGGAAAUUAUCUUUAAAAAUCUUUGAUAUUUGGCAUGGUGCAUGCCAUGUUGAUCUCUGACUCAACAAAAAAUGACCCUUGUUACCUACUGCAUUAAAGAAUUAUGACCUAUUUAAGCAAUGAAUCUUAGGUGAGUGCUCUAGGGCCAUCAUGGCUCUCUUGUAUAAAAAGUUACAUUUUUAGAUAAUUUUUAGUCUACUUUUAAAGAAAAAAGCAGAGCUCUUGUCAUGACCAACUUAUCAGUGUUGGCCUUCGUUAACCUUUUUGGUUAAAAUUUCAAUAAUGGUUAUUACCUUGAAUACUAAUAAUUCUUAAACAUUACCACUUUAUUAUAUGAAUGCAAGUUGGUGAGUUCUUUCUAUCACAUCCAAUUUCAGGUCAAUGUCAAGGUCAUUUGUUCCUAUAAUAUGUAAUAGUCCAUAUUUUUCAUAAACAAUCAAAGCUAUUCAAUUAAAAUUUGGUAUACAUUUUCAUCAAAAUAUGACACCGUUUCAUAUGGGCGUAUAAACAUAAAUUAAUAUUUUGUAAAAUAUGCCCCUUUUUGACGUAGAUGUUUCUGCGUUGGUCAAUCAUUCUUGAUAAGAGUCAUGUCUCAAAAAACACUUUAAAUUUGGAAGUUAUUUUUCACUUUCAAAAAUAUAAUAUGUUUGUAAAGGAUAAAUAGCCAUGAAAGACUUGUUUUUAAAAAAAUCCCAAUUUUGUAUCUUUUAAUUAUUUUCCUUAUUUUCUCAUAAACCAUCAUAGAUAUUCGCUUCUAACUGGAACUUUUUGUUUGCUUCCAAGGGCAGGUAAUUCUGCUAAGCAGUUUUUAAGAAUUAUGCCCCUAUACAUGUACCUUCUUUGAUUUUAUGUUCUCUGUAUUACUGAGAAAAGUGGAGCAUGCUGCUUCUGUGACAGCUAAAAAACUAACUACAUGUAGUUAAUUAUAGUUCUUAUUGUCUUUAAAUUGUAUAUACAUGUAUAUAUUAUUGUUUAUCCAUUUCAUAUUUUAAUCAAAACAUGUCAGUUACAAACUGAUAGAAAUGUCUUUCUUUUUGUGUUCAUCAAAUUUUAAAGGUUUAUUUUUGAAAAUUAUGAAAUUUUAACAAGAAUUUUAACAAUAAAUUAAUUCUUUUAAUUUACUUCAAACCCUGUUAUGCCUUAAAAUUGUUUAUUUUUAUUUCUCAAAAACCUUCUAUCUUUGGUAUCUUGUCACAGUUUCCAAAAAAUACUCAUUUGCCAUAUACAUAAACUAUCUUUUUCUAAUUAUGCUCUGCUUGCAAAUGGUAUAUUGAGGGAAUUAGUACUUUGUAUGGAAAUCAAAAUCCGAUUUGAUUGUUUGUUUGGUGUAUAUGCAGUUUUGGUUGGUCAAAUUAAUCAGCUUUCCAGGAAAACAAACCAAUAACUUCCAAUUUUUAGCAAAUGACCAGUGACUAAUCCAUAAUGAUUCCUUAAUUAGAAGUGAGAGAUAAAUAAGAAUUAGAAUAACUCUAUGUCUGUGACCACUAAAUCAGAUAAUUAGAUGCUUAUAUCAACUACAUGUUAUUAUAAUGCCAGUAUACAAUUAAUUUAGGAGAAAUUAGGUGAUUUUAGCUUUCAAACUGAAAGUAUUCAAUGUCAUAACUAAAAUUUUAUCAUUUUGUGUUGUUCAUUAUCAAUUAAGCACAAUGAAAAAUCAGUUAUUGUGUAAUGUAAUAGCUGGCUGGCUAACUUUCAAUUAAUUUUGACUGUAAGAUAAUGGUGGCAUAUUAUCGAGAUAGGCUUAUUAUCAAGACAUGCUUAUUAUUGAAUUUUUAGGGUAUACUAAAAUAUAUUUAAAAAGGUGGGAAAAAGUCAUAAUGUCAAAAUAAAACAAUUAUUUAAAAAUUUGCAAUGAUAGGUAAAUUAAUAGGAAAUUAUUUUUUUUAAAAAUCAUAUUAAGUGAAUGUAAAAUGACAAGUACAUAGCAACAUUUCACUUUGAAUAAUUUUUAAGUACAUUUUAAUAUUACUGUAAAUGUUUAUGUUUUAUCAAGUUUAUGUUUUAUGUUUUAUCAAGUUUAUGUUCAAGAAUUUAAUUAUUGUUAAAAAAUAUUGUUUUAAAUUGAAAAUAUGUCAUAAUAUAAAGUUUAUUUAUC